GACGAACGCUGGCGGCGUGCUUAACACAUGCAAGUCGAACGGAAAGGCCCUGCUUGCAGGGUACUCGAGUGGCGAACGGGUGAGUAACACGUGGGUGAUCUGCCCUGCACUUCGGGAUAAGCCUGGGAAACUGGGUCUAAUACCGGAUAGGAGCCAUUUUUAGUGUGAUGGUUGGAAAGUUUUUUCGGUGUAGGAUGAGCUCGCGGCCUAUCAGCUUGUUGGUGGGGUAAUGGCCUACCAAGGCGGCGACGGGUAGCCGGCCUGAGAGGGUGGACGGCCACAGGGAGACGGAGUGGCGGCCCAACUCCGGAAGGGGGGGAGAAGGGGGGAAGUUUGACAAAGGGGCGCAACGUGGGUGAAGCGACCCCGCGGGGGGGAUGACGCCGUGGGGGUUGUAAACCCCUUCCGUGAGGAAAGACGCUUUUGGUGACGGUACCUAAAUAAGAAGCACCGGCUAACUACGGG
rnacentral:rRNA from 1 species